GGUCUUAUAGCUCAGUUGGUCAGAGCGUUGGUCUUAUGAGCCGAAGGUCACUGAUUCGAGCCCUGCUAAGACCA